rnacentral:ncRNA from 1 species
AGAAACACGCAGACGGGAACAAAAAUCGUCCUUCGCCUUUUUUCAGAGAAUUGCCGGUCGGUGCAAGGCAUAAAAAGAAAGAGCGUAAUAUCCUCCCCGAGUGGCCGCGUUGAAUUUGCAGUAAACGCGGACGGCAGCAUCCGUUAGAAUUGCAGCGAAUGAUCGUUCGCGUAAGUGCAUCAUGAUGAUGAAUUAGAGUGGUACCACGGUAUUUAUAUCGCCUCUUUG